CCUACGGGAGGCUGCAGUGGGGAAUAUUGCACAAUGGGGGGGACCCUGAUGCAGCGACGCCGCGUGAGUGAAGAAGUAUUUCGGUAUGUAAAGCUCUAUCAGCAGGGAAGAAAAUGACGUUACCUGACUAAGAAGCCCCGGCUAACUACGUGCCAGCAGCCGCGGUAAUACGUAGGGGGCAAGCGUUAUCCGGAUUUACUGGGUGUAAAGCGAGCGUAGACGGUUAUGCAAGUCUGAUGUGAAAGCCCAGGGCUCAACCAGGGGACUGCUUUGGAAACUGGAAAACUGGAGUGCAGGAGAGGUAAGCGGAAUUCCUAGUGUAGCGGUGAAAUGCGUAGAUAUUAGGAGGAACACCAGUGGCGAAGGCGGCUUACUGGACUGUAACUGACGUUGAGGCUCGAAGGCGUGGGGAGCAAACAGGAUUAGAUACCCCAGUAGUC
rnacentral:rRNA from 1 species